GCGGGUGUAGCUCAGCCGGCAGAGCAGCAUCCUGCCAAGGUGCAGACGCGGGUUCGAUUCCCGCCAUCCGCU
rnacentral:tRNA from 1 species